rnacentral:lncRNA from 1 species
CUGCAGCCGCCUUCUGGGCGCUAGGCGGACCUGGCUGCAGCCGCUGCAGUCCAGGAGCUGUGCACGCUGCUGUUACCUAACACCUCGGAACGGCUCCGUCUCCGCGGCGGGCUCGCUUAGGGAUUGCAGUAGGAAGCAAACGCUGCAUGGAGAAACACCAGGAAGACCCCCUGACAGGGCACGGCACUGCAGGACCACCCAUGGCCUCUCACCUCAAGGAGGGGUGCGGCAGAGCACAGAGACGGUGGGCGACAGCCUGGGGUCACACAGCAAGUUAGCUGCCUCCCCAAUUCAGGCUUUCUGUAUUCUGGAAUUAUUCCCCAUCGCCUGGGCACUCGGCUCCCUCCCUGCCCAGCCCCCACUCUGCCCCCCAGACAGUCCCCAUGUUCACCUUUCCCCAGGGAAUGCCUGUAGCUUCUAGGAAGUGUCUUUUGGGAGGCAAGAGCACUGAGCCCGGGCCCAGGGAGCUGCAGGCACUCAGGCACCCAACACACAGGUGAUCCCGGAGGCUGCAGGCACCCAGGCACCCAACACACAGGUGAUCCCGGAGGCUGCAGGCACCCAGGCACCCAACACACAGGUGAUCCCGGAGGCUGCAGGCACCCAAGACACAGGUGAUCCCGAAGGCUGCAGGCACCCAAGACACAG